ACCAUGUUCCGUGUAGUUGUGCUGCUGUUGCUGGCUGCAGGUUCCUGUGUCGAGUGUGAAGAGCUGACCCAGCCACCGUCUGUCACUCUGCAGUCUGGUCAGAGUCUGAGCAUCGACUGUUGGGUGUCUUAUUCUGUGGGUGCUGGUGGCUACUACACAGCGUGGGUCAGGCAUCCUGCUGGGAAAGGACUGGAGUGAAUUGGGAUGGCGUAUACUGGCAGCUCUUUCUACAAAGACUCACUGAAGAACCAGUUCAGUAUUAAUGUAAACCCCUCCAGCAACACAGUGACUCUAAAUGGACAGAAUAUGCAGCCUGGAGACACGGCUGUGUAUUACUGUGCCAGAGACCCACAACAACACAAAGCAUCAGCAGACUAGAACAAAAACAACAACACUGUGCAGCGUGACAAACAUGUUCUAGUCACUCGUUAAAUGGAAUCCAAAGAACUGUAUUCACUUCUAUAUCACAUAUUUACGACAUGCCUAAAUUUGUUAGCUACU